rnacentral:rRNA from 1 species
AUGAACGCUGGCGGCGUGCCUAAUCCAUGCAAGUCGAGCGAACAGACGAGGAGCUUGCUCCUCUGACGUUAGCGGCGGACGGGUGAGUAACACGUGGAUAACCUACCUAUAAGACUGGGAUAACUUCGGGAAACCGGAGUUAAUACCGGAUAAUAUAUUGAACCGCAUGGUUCAAUAGUGAAAGACGGUUUUGCUGUCACUUAUAGAUGGAUCCGCGCCGCAUUAGCUAGUUGGUAAGGUAACGGCUUACCAAGGCAACGAUGCGUAGCCGACCUGAGAGGGUGAUCGGCCACACUGGAACUGAGACACGGUCCAGACUCCUACGGGAGGCAGCAGUAGGGAAUCUUCCGCAAUGGGCGAAAGCCUGACGGAGCAACGCCGCGUGAGUGAUGAAGGUCUUCGGAUCGUAAAACUCUGUUAUUAGGGAAGAACAAAUGUGUAAGUAACUAUGCACGUCUUGACGGUACCUAAUCAGAAAGCCACGGCUAACUACGUG